UGGGCACCCUGCAAAACAGCUCUCGACAUUGCAAAAUCGUGACACGCUUCACAAAUUGUGUCACGAUUCAAAGUUUUCCCAACUUUGCAAUUUGAAGACAUAAACAACAAAGUGCUCCUCUCAUGGAUUUGGUUUGAAGAGAUUCUUUAGGGAUUGAAAAGAGUUGAAGAAUACUUGGGAGUUGUGACAUCGAGAAAGGAAUGGAGUUGGCCUCUUUUUUUGAGAGGUAAGGAGAAACUUCUUGGACCGGAAAUUGGAAGGUCAUUACAUUUCCAACGUGAAGAUCAUCCAAACUAAAAUAUCCUGUCUUGAAAGCUUCUGUAUGAUCCAAGUUAGGAAUUGGGAGAUCUUCUGCGGAGUUGGUAUGAUCCAGUAAUGUAAUUUGGUUGCUUGCCUUCAUGUUUAUCAUAUGAAGUUAUGUAAGCUCCGUUGGAUUUAUGGUUAUGGGUCCUAUACCCGGUAAUGUAAUUUGGUUGCUUGGUUUCAUGUUUACCAUAUUGAGUUAUGUAAGGACCAUUGGAUUCAUGGUUAUGGGUCUUAUACCCGAUAAUGUAAUUUUGUUGUUUGGCUUCAUUUUACCAUAUCCAGUUAUGUAAGGUUCAUUUGAUUCUGGUUGUUUGGCUUCAUGUUUACCAUAUCCAGUUAUGUAAGGUUUAUUUGAUUCUAGUUGUUUGGCUUCAUGAUUAUAAGCAGUUAUGUAGGCACCAUUUGAAUCCACUUGAUUUUGAUCUCGCAGCUCUACUUUCAAGUCUCUCGCAUUGAUGCUUUUGCCAAUCUACAAUGAUGUUAAUGAGAAUAUAAAUUGUUAGACUUUUUCAAUAAAAAAAAUAUAAAUUAUUAGUGUCCUAAUUGAUUAGCCAGAUUGAUAUUACAAUUACUAAUUACAUCACGUUUUAAUUGCAAGAACUUUUAAGGGAAAAAAUUAUUUAGAACCUAGAGUUUUAUAUGGGACAUUGGUACCUCAAAGAAAAAUUAAUUCAAAAUUUAAAUUCAAUACAAAAUAACUAAAAAAACUUAAAUAAAAAUAAAUAAGCAUAUGUCCUUUCUAAAUUUAGCCAUGUUGGUACGAAUAUUUCAUAAUAUAUGUAGGGAUCAAAGUUCGACCACGGACGCCCUACUUAUUUACCUUAAAAAAAUGAAUUUCUAACCGAUAAACUACUUAACUAAAAAAAUAUCAUAUCCUACAAAACUGUGCCAAGUGUUGAUAAAACAAUAGUGCAAUAAAAAUUGUAGUAAUAUUUUAAGAUGAUAUUAAAUAGUUUUCAAAAAAAAAUAUCAAGUAAAAGAGCAUUCAAUUCUAAAUGUAAAAGCCAUAUAAUCUCCCCUCCAAAUAUCCAUCAAUUUGGAGGAGAGUUAGAAUUUGUUUUUGAGAUAUUAUGUUUCCCUCCCUUUGUGAUAUUUUAUAGAUGACAUGGAGGUAUUUUUUUUCUUUUUCCUUUUUAUUUUGAAAGAAGGUGCUAUCGUGGUUUCUUUCAUCGUUAACUCAGCUUCCUCUUACUUAGAGAUUUGAGAACAUAUAUAUUAAUAUUUAUUAGUAAUAAUAUGAUAAUAACUAGCUUACACAAGGAAAGCCAGAACAUAUGGAGUACGUAGCAAGCACAGUGGGUGAAUAGAAUACAAAUAAUUCAAUAACGAUCCAAUCUGAUAAUAUUACAAUUAAUGAACCUCGUACUGAUUUGGUUUGUAAAGACGAAUUUGAAGUUAGUGUAACAAUUUCACAGUACACGAUCCCCUUUUUUCUCCCUUUUUUUUGUGUAAUUAUUUGUGUGAUAAGCUUCAAUGACAAUGUGAAUGUAUUAUGAAAGAUAUGAUCAACUAAUAAAAUGAGAGUUUUAUACCUUGUUCCGCAAAAAAGGUAUACUUUAUAAUUUUUUUAAUCUGAACAAAAGAAAAAUAUAACUACAGAAAACAAUAAAAGAAAUUAAAAGUAUGUUUGUCUCUCUACAUUUUUGUCUCUUUUAGUUUUAGCCAUUUUCAAUUAUGUGUUCUUGAUAUUAUAUGCAAUGUUGUUCUGUAAUUUUGGGGAGUAAAAGAUUCCGGAUUAUAUAAGUUGAAAUGUUGUUUGGAUUAUAUUUGCCGAACAAAUGGUAUUUUGGGAAGAAAAAAAUUAAGGCGUGCGAGAAGCUUAUAAGGUAGGAAAAAAUAAUAGCCAAAAAAAUAAGAAUGAUUGAGUUUAUUAGAGUAGUUAUUUUAGAGCAUUAAAUUGUGGACUGCAUUAUGUCAUGCAGUCACAAUAUUACUAUUAGAAAUUUUGUAGUUUGUUUUGUUGUUAGUCCCUUUAUUUUGUGUAUUUGCAUUGAACAAAUUGGGACAUUACUCAAAGAUCUCAAAGUCAAGAACUACCUCUUCCAUUCGAUUGAAAGGUCUAUCAUGGGGAUGAUUCUUGUGCCUUAUAUAUCAAUUAAAGAUACAUGGGAUUCCAUCCGUGAGAACUAUCAAGUAUCAACAAAGAUUAAAUGUGCUCAAUUCCAAGCUAGCUCUAAGCGGGGAAUUUACGGUUCUUAGCAUUAAAUAUGGUGAAUCGGUGGAUGAAUACUUCGUAAGGACUCUUGCAAACGCAAAUUGAAUGACAUCUCACGGGGAGAAAUUGGAACAACUCUUGAUCGUUGAAAAUAUUUUGAGGUAAAUGACUCCAAAUUUGAUUACGUUGUGUGUUAAAUUAAAUAAUCCAAUGACAUUGCAAACUUUUCCAUUGACUAUUUAUAAAGUACUUCACUUGUCCAUGAGCAACGUAUAAGGGCUCACUAAGAAGAAAAAAAUGAAGAAAAGGUUCUCAAGAUUUCAAACUCUCAAAGGGAAUAUGGUUAUUGUAAGGGUUGUAUUGGAUAAAUAUAUCAUGGAAGAGGUAGAUAAAACACAGAGUUUAUUUAAUGCUUCAAGUUUCAUAAACUAGGACUUUACCAAAGUGUGUGUCCAAGUUGGGAGGAGAUGCUAAUUUGACUAAAUAAGAAGAUGAGGAAAGGCUUUUCAUUGCUCAAGAGGGAUUGAGUAGUGGUGCUAGGUAAUAUGUGUGGUUCCUAGAUUUUAAGUGUACCAUCACAUGGUGGGAACAAAUGAGUGACUAUUUGAACUUAAUGAAAGCACACUAAGACUAUUAUAAGUGGGAACACGCUAUUUAAGGUGAAGGAAAUGUAUCAAGAAUUUUUUAAAACACAGCUGUCAAGUUUCAAUUUGAUGAUUUAUUUGUUCACUUCCUAUUUUUCAGCCACACCUCCUUGAAUUGUGUUAAAUAGUGCACUGUGAUUGGCUGCUCUUUAUUCUUGAAGAAUUCUUAAUGUUAUUUUUCUAGAGAUAUAACAUUGCUCUUGUAAGUGAUACCACGGAAAAAUAAAAACACUGAAAAACAAUGAUCUUUCUACAUAAUUUUUAAUUUAUUUAUGCAUAAAAAGUAGCAAUAACAAUACAUACACAAACAUGUUUCCUCUAAAAAAACAAGACAUACAAACACGCGAAAUUGGUCAUCACUCAUCACUCACAACCAUCACUAGUGAGAUUGAUAAACCUUUAUUAUACAAGUCUAGAUAGACCAACUCACUUCACAUGGUGGCUUUUGAAGGUUGCAUUGGAACCCACAGAAGAUGGUUCACAGGUAAGAAGUGACACACUGGAGAGUUCUUCCCGGCCUUAAUGCUAAGCUGCCUAAAUAUUAUAUGAUCUGGGUUCCAAUCAGAUGUGUCCAAAUGGCAAAUUCCAACAGCUUCCAUUUUAUCUCCAUUCUCAUCACCGACAAGCGAGACCUUGAACACUCUAGUCCCUGUAGCUAUGUAAUGACAAAAGUAAAUGGCAUAUGGAUAUGAGAGGGGAUGACAAGCUACCCAUUUUGGAGCAUCAAUAUCAUGGGAUACUUCCAAAAUGGUGUACUUCUGUAAAGGGACAGCUGUCGGUGAGGGUUUGUUGGUGGUUAGAAUACUAAUUUUGGCAUCUGAACCAAAGAUCGUGUUAACAAAUUCGAGCAUGGACUCUAGAGAGUUGGCACAAGUCUUUGUCUCCCCUGUAAUGGUUUCCGAUUCACACUCUCCAAGUGAAUUUAUCAUGGAUUUAGCUUGAGGAGAAUCUUCAGGGAUUGAUAAGAGUUGAAGAACACUUGGAAGUUGUGACAUUGCAAGAGGAAUGGAGUCAGCCUCUUUUUUUGAGAGAAAAGGAGAAACCACUUGGACGGGAAAUUGAAGGGUCAUUACAUUUCCAACAUAAAGAUCAUCCAAAUUGAAAAAUCCUACCUUGAAAGCUUCUGUACGAUCCAAGUUAGGAGAUUGGGAGCCUUCUAGAUCUUUUGAGGUGGUAGAUGGAGGGUCUUUUGGGUCAUUUCCAACAGAUAUGUUCCCGAUAAGGUAAUUUGGUUGCUUGGCUUCAUGGUUACCAUAUGCAGAUACGUACAAUUCAUUAGAUUCAUGGGAUUCAGGGGUAUGGGUCUUGUACCCUGUAAUGUAAUCCGGGUUCUUGGCUUCAUGUUUACCAUAUGCAAGUCUGUACCCACCAUUCAUGUAAGGCUCGCUUAGCUUUUCAUUAGAUUCAUGGGUAUGGGUCUUGUACCCUGUAGUGUAAUCCGCGUUCUUGGCUUCAUGUUUACCAUAUGCAAGUCUGUACCCGCCAUUCAUAUACGGCUCGCUUAGCUUUUCAUUAGAUUCAUGGGUAUGGGUCUUGUACCCUGUAGUGUAAUCCGGGUUCUUGGCUUCAUGUUUACCAUAUGCAAGUCUGUACCCGCCAUUCAUGUAAGGCUCGCUUAGCUUUUCGAGAUGUGAUAUAUGCUUGUUGUGUUUGGUGGUGGUAUAUGAAGCUGGAUAAUUUGGUCUACUGCCUCCGUAUUGUGUAAUGUAAGGUUUAUCAUUCGAGUCCACUUGAUCAUGAUCUUGCAGCUCUACCUUCAAGUCUCUGGCAUUGAUGUCUUGGCCAAUCUACAAUGACAACAACGAGAAUAUAAAUUGAAAGACUUCUUCAAUAAACAAUAUAACAUAUUAAUCCCGUCAAAAAAAAAAAAUGUCCCUGUUGAUAUUACGAUUAUAUUGCUUCACGUUUUACUGCAAUGACCUUUAAGGUAAAUUGAUUCUUUGGUCAUGCUGUGACAAGAACUGAUUUUUAAUUGAAUUGAUUCUUUGUCAAAAAAUUGAAUUGAUUCUUUAAAAUUUAUUCUAAUUAGAAGUGACUUGAAGGUAAAUUAAAUUGUAUUUGAGUAUAUUCUUGUAAAUGUGAGUUAAACUAUAAAUUUGUAUUUUAAAAUUAAUGAUAGAAUCAUAAGCUAUCUUGUCAAAAAUAAAAUUAAAAAAAAGAUAGAAUCAUAAGCUACAAAUCCUAACUCCAAGUAGAACCAAUUAUUUUAUCAAAAAUUAAAAUCAAUUGCGAAGGAAGAGUUAUUAUGUCUGAAAGAAAAUAAAAACUAAUUCAUAUCAAAAUCAAUUCUAUACCUCUACAAUUUGUUUUAACCUCUUUGAAAAUGGAACCAAACAUAUAUUAAAAAUGUUUUUUUUUAACAUAACCAUUUAAGUUAUUUGUAGAUAACGCAUCGUAUAUUUUGCUUCUAAAUCUUGUGUUGACAAUUUUCGUUAACAAAAUUUUAUGCAUAUAAUUACUAUAAAACUGGAAGUGUCCAAACAUGACGACUAAAUUUAUCAAUCAAGUUGUACUUUUUUUUACUUUUCUAUUUCUACUCAUCUUUAACUAAUAAGAUUUGUUCAAAGUAGCUAAAUAUACGUGAUUACUAGAUAAUUAAAAUAAAUAUACUAGGUCACUUAUAAAUAAAACAAAAAAUGGGAUAGCUAAGGCUACGCAACACACAUGUACACUAUCCUACGCCCCUAUUCAAUAAAACCUUAGAAGAUCAGAUUUUAUUUAUCUUUUUGGUAGUGGUUGAAGUUUGAAUCCCGGACCUUUCAUAUUUUAUGCAUUGUCGCAACCAGCUGAGGUAAGCUUGCGAGAACAGAUUUUAUUCAUUAGAAAAAGUGCAAGUGUUUUCAACAAAACACUAUUUUUAUUUUUCAUUAAAAGAAGUCGCUAAAUUUACAAUAUAUAUAUAUAUAUAUAUAUAUAUAUAUAUAUAGCUAUUAAAAAAUAUACUAACUAACUGAUAAAUAAAAUAAAAAUAUGAGGUGACCAAGGCUACACCAUAAUCACAAUAUUCAACAAAACUUUAGUGUUUUCAUUGAGUCACACAAUUAAAUGUGGCUAAAACAUUAUAUUUAAAGAAAAAUUAUAGGAUUGAAAAUUAUAAAAAUGCAAUUAAAAUUGAUGAAAAAACAGCAUUUUGUCUAAAUCACACAACUAAGUUAUAAUUAUAACUCUUUCAAAAAAAGGUAUAAUUAUAACUUGAAACUAUACAUAUUAUAGAUGCUAAAAAGUAAAUCUUUAUCUCCAAGGACGCCUAUAGAAAUUGCAUUAUUUGGUUCAUUACGGGAAAAUGAGGAGAGUGAAGUAAAUAUUUUCACGAUUGAAAUAUUUAUUAUGACAAUUAGUAAAAUGUCAUUUAUGUUUAAAUGUGAAAUUAUUUUUGAAGAAAUUUUGCUUCCCUAUUUUUUCCUCCGUAUCUAAUAACUUAAUCAAAUAACUAAAAUUUAAAAUAAUAUCUCAUCUCCCCUCUCCAAGACUCUAACUAUCACUAUGUAGUACAAUUGAAUUGAAUUACCAUAAAGAAGAAAAGGACUACUGUGAGGAACUUAAGUGCUAGUGGUGUAGUAGCCAUUUUUUUAAAGUAUUGUGGAUGAGUGAGUUAUUCCACUUGAAGAGAACUAGCCUUUUUAUAGGUGAGAUUGAGGUCUUUUUUUUUUUCUUUUUUUUUUUGGAAGAAGGUGUUGUCGAGGUUUCCUUCUUGCUUUUUCUUGUUGACUCAUACAUGGAUUGGAAAUUAAUUAUCUCAAGUGUAAAAUGUGUGAAUGGUUUUCUUCAAGUAUUAUAUCUAAAUAAUUAAAUAUAAGAGAAAAAAAAAUAUAAAAUCGUAAAGAAAAGAGGAUAUUGAAUAUGUGUUAAGAUGUAACGAAUGAAAAAAAAAUAAUAAUUAAGAUAAUCCAUUCCUUAAUAUGCUCCCUCGACAUGGUUUGUAAAGACAAAUUUGAAAUGAGUGUGACAAUUGAUGCUUAUCAUUUUGGUGAUUUGUCUUUUCAUUCCUAGAUACUAUUUCCGUUUUUAAUUAUACAGAUUAUUAAUUGCAUUUAUUAAUAUAGUUUUUUUCCCUCAAAAAUUAAUAUAGUUUUUUUAAAACAUACCCCUUAUUAAUAUUGUCCCUAUUUUAAAAUAUGAAAAGUUAAAGCUAUACACAUUAAUCUUUAAAGAAUAUUUUAGAAAAAUUUAUAUAUAAGGGGGCAUUCUAAACUCACCAUCUACUUUUCGUAAAUAUACGUGAAAAAGGUAAAAAAAUGACUUAUAAAAAGGGAUAAAGAGAGUAAUAUUUACAUUCUCUCCGUCCAUUAUUAUAAGACCUUCUAGUAUAAAUCACGAGUAAAAAAACUCGAAAUAAUAAAUUUAUCUAAAAUGUGUGUUAAUUUUAUGCUAACGUUAGAACACUUUUUAGAGUCAUGUGCAUGAUAAGGAGACAACAUACGAUUAAAAUAACAUAUUUAAACUCAAUUCCUUGUUUGAUGCACCAACAGGAAAUGAUAAGUUUAACAUAUUUCUAAUCCUAUCCUACUCUCCCUUUCUUAUUUUAAUUAAUUCUUAAUUUUUGGUGGGUUACAAACCUAAUAGCAUUAUACGCGUAUUCUUUCUCCCUUUGCCGUUUCACAUUCGAGCUUACUCCCUCCCUAUCUCAACCUUCGGGCAGGGCUUGCCCAUGAAUCGCUUCAUUAUUCUUCUGUUUGUUUCUAUUUUUGUUUGUUCAUAUUUUAUGCUUCACAAUUGAAUGUUUAAUUAAAAAGUUGUAAUGAUUGAUAAAAAAAAUUGAAUUCGUUAAUUGGAAUGAAAAAUUGAAUCUGUUCAUUGAAUUCGUUAAUUGGAAUGAAAAAUUGAAUAUGUUCGUAAUUUGUUAAUCGUUGCUGUUAUAUGGUGUUGGUUUGUGUUUUUUUUUUACAGCUUUUUAGUUUGCUUUCGGUGGGAGUUCUGCUCUUCCCCCAACUGAUUUUGCUCGUUCCCAAGUGAAUUUCCCAUAAUGCCCAUGUGUGAGUUAACUCAAGCAGAGGUUAACACUAGCUUGAGUUAAUUCACGCAGCUUGAGUUAAGUCACACAGAAUUAACACUAACGUGAGUUAACUUUCACAUAAACAUUUUCAGAAGUUUGGUUCGAAAUUAGCAAAAUGAGUUGGGAGAAGAGCAAAAUUCUUUCAAUGGGUUAUCAACUUAUCACCUAUGUUCUAACAGGGCCUGAUUGUAUCUUUCUACCAAUUCUUCUCUUCUUGAGUGAAUUGUGUUAUUUUAAUUAUAUAUAUAUAUAUGCUAUUAAAAAAAUAAUGUUAGCAUGUUACUAUCAUGUUUGGCACCAAACGUAUGAUAGGCUAAUGUUUAUCAUGUUUUUAUUAUAUCAUAUCCUUAUCCAAUAUAUUAUUCUAUCAUGUCUUUAUCAUAUCAUGUGCAUCAAACGGAUCCUUAAUGAUUCUAAAGAGGAAAUUAUUUAUAAAUUUUAAGUAUAAAAAGUUUCUUUUUGAAGUUUCAAUGAUUUGAAUACACAAUUUUUUUAAAAAAAAAAUUCUUAUUUUGCCUUUUAAACAAGUGCUCGAAAGACACUUGUUAGUAUUUCCUUCAUUUUAUAAAGUGUUCAGAUUUAAAAUCCUUAAAAAAUAACCUUAAGACACUUGCUAGGAAGACUCAUUAACCAUUUAACGACUGAUUGGAUGUAAUUUUGUUUGGAACUUGACACUUUUGUGAUUGUUUUGGCACACCUUGUGCGGUAACAAUUACGGUGUCAGUAUUAAUAUAUCUCAUUUUCGUUUGUUAAAAAAAAAUAUUUUCUACUUGAAAAUAUUGUGUUUCAUGUACCCAAAAAUUAACCAAACACAAUAACUUUAAAUAAAGUAGAAUUCAAUAAAUAAGGUUAUAUUAAUGUAAAAAAUACGAAAUACUCUCUUCGUCCCAUAAUAACUGAGUCAUUUUCAAUAUAAAAAAAAAAGUGUCCAAAAAUAAGUGAGCCAUUUCACCUUUCAAUACAUCAUUAAUUAUUUUUUUUCUCUUUAUAACUCUAAUUAAUACUACUUUCUCAAUGCAACAUAUUCCACGUUGCAUUUAUGAUAGUGGAGAAUAGACCAAUACUUAACAAGAGUAUUUAAAACCAUUUUUCUCUCUCCUUCAUUUAUACAUUUGUCUUGAUAUGUGUGAUUUGAGCAAAUAGAUCAAUUAAUUCGAGACGGAGGGAGUAUUCUAUUGAUAAUCUAGAUUAAUAAUUAUUUUAAGACAGAAAAAAUUAUGAAAUGACAGUUAAAAGGAGAGAGGUAGCAAUGUAUAUAGAGUGAGCGUUACUCCACAUUUGACAUGUUUAAGAACUUAUUUUCCACUUUAAAAUUGAGUGCAUUCCAUUUACCCAAAAAUUAAACAAAAAAAUAAUCCAUUUACCCAAAAUAGUACUAAUAUAAUUGACUGUAUUUCCCAAAACUAUUAAUGCAUGUGCACAUGCAUUAGCAGGAAGUCAACUAGCUUCCAUCAAUAACGGAUCAUGGUCUGUCAAAAUCCACACAUAUUUUUACCAACUAACCUAGAGAGACGGAAUAAUUUAGAAAAUGAUUUUAGGAAAGGUUAACAAGUGUCUUCUGUUUUUUUUUUUUUUAUUAGCAAGAAGAGAGGACAGGCAUCUCAACUCUCAAGUGUCGUAUGUGUUAUUUGUGUCAUUUGUUUAAAGAUUAAAAAUAGAAAGUAAUUACUUUUUUUUUUGGUAGAUACUCACUCCGUUUUUAGGUUCAUUCAAUUAAUGAUAUACGUGGUACAUAUUAUGAACCACAUAUAUCAUUAAAUGAAUGAACCUAAAAAGUAAAAUUUGUUUAUAAUUAAAAACGGAAGGAGUAGGCGAGAUGACAAAACCAUCAUAAACUUGGGUGACAUUGGUCAAUCACAAUGUCACAAUGCUUGUGAAAGAGAGAAACACAAGCAUUGUGAAAUUGUGAUUGGCCAAUGUCAUCAAUGUUACCCAACUCUAUGUCACCCAAGUGCUACACCAUAAAGUCACACACACAAAGUGGAAGUACCGGGGUUCGACCCCAAUCAUGACGUCUGGCCUAACAAUUUCGACAUUUUUACUAGUUGAGCUAGAACUUAUGAGACAAUAGAAAGUAAUUAUUGUCCCCUUCUCUUUAUAUAAGCAUUUAUUUGAUUAAAAAUUUGUCCUUAAAUACAUACUCUUUUUGAAUUACUAGAUAUAUUUGUACGGUUCGGGUUCGAACCCCAGACACCACAAAUAAAAAAAAGAUGUACUUGUUUUUUUCCUAAACAUAUCUUUAAUUAAUAAUGACAUCUCUUUGUCUAAAUAUAAAACACUUUUGCCAAAAUCACGAAAAUUAAUUAAUAAAGUUGUUUGUAAUCACAAUUAUUUUUACAGUUUUAUCAUUUAAGAAAAAGAGUAAGUUUAUGUUUUCAACAAGAUAUUUAUUGUUGAUCGAAGAAAAUAAUAUAUAAUAAAUAGGAUUGUGAAGGUAAAUAGAUAAUUAAUUGUGCUGGAAAUAGCAAAGAGGUUCUAUAAAAUGGACAGAAAAAUCUCAAAAGAGUUAGUAUAUAAUUAAGUAUGGACGUAGUAUUAAUUUGUCUUGAAAUAUAAAAAGUCAAAUUUAAUACACAUACAAACAAAUGACAAUUUGAUAAUAUUAACACACAAAAUAAAUAUCUUAAUUGCACUAACAAUUAUUAUUAAGAAAUGUGAAAAAAAAAAAAAAAAAGCAAAGGGUACUUAUAUAUAUAUGAACAAAAGAGUAUAUAAAAUUUUGCAUCCAAAUGAACUCUUUUCCAACUUCUAAAAAAAGAAUUUCUAAAGGUUUAUUUUUGAGGAAACAAUUUCCAAAGUUGAAAAAGUGUUAUUUGCAAUAUAAAAUUUGUCUUUUAUUUUUAUUUUUAUUUUUAAUUCUUUAACAAUUGUCAUUCCCUCAACAAAACAAAAAAAACUUUUAACAAUUGUCAUAGCAUGAUCCAAUAAUUAAAUAUAUUUUCAAUUCAUAUAAACUUAUCAAAUUAUAUUUUUCUUACCCAUAAAAAAAUCAGACUUUUAGUAUCUACGAAAUUAUCUUGCAAGCAGUUUAGUCUUAAAAUGAGUCACACAAUUUAUCACAUCUGAGCUGGAAUAGCUCUAGAGAUUAUAUUAGUAGGGGAGCACAUGUUUUCAUAGGCAAAAAGCUCUUGAAACUAACCCAAAACAUGUUGCUCAAUCUUCUCUUUUUUUUUCCUAAGAAAUUAUCCCAUCCUUUUGAAACCUAGAAAUCGUGUUUCUAGCAUUUCUGAUUUUGACCAGUCUAUGAAAGUAGUUAAUGGUUCUGUCCACCUAGAAAUCCUUUUUAAAACAGGUUUAAGAAUUUUGACUUUCUGCUGAAUGAUGUACAUAGGACAACCAAUAACCUCCUAAGUCCAAUGAUCAUGAAUCACCCUUUUACAAUCUUCAUGAGCAGUCCACCUAUUUUGAAAUUUGAUAGAUGAGGGGAAAAAAAUGACCUCAGUAAAUUUGCAUGUUCAACAUGGUUGGAUGAUAGUCAUGAAUGAGAUUUAGGAAGAGUGGAUGUUGAAACAUGUGUGGAAAUUGAGUUAAAAGACUUUACACAAAUUCUCACGUAGGGAAGAAUUAGUGUUGUCAGAAUUGAAAAAUGUGAAAUUCCCACAUGAGAUGGAUCACACACUAGUAGUAUUUAUAUAGUGGGGUUGUACCUCAAAUGGGAUGCAUAAUUAAGUGAACGAAGUAAGCACGAAAAUGUUAAAUUAAGUAAUUAAUUGAAUCAUAUUAUUUGAAAGUGUCAUCUUAGUCUCUAUAUCUUUCGUACUCAAUAUGAUAUAUCUUGGCACUCGAUCGAGAUAUUUUUAUACUAGAUCUAAUAUGUGAAUUAUUUACUCCAAAAGUAAUAUGUAAUUACUUGUUCCUAAAGUUUCUCACAUAUUAGUUGUGAAUUAACUAUAUAAAUAGAGAACUCACGUAGUGCAUUCCAGACACAAGGGUUAUAUUGAGUUGUCGAGAACUCUUUCUCUCUUCUCCCUCCAGCUUGUGUUAACGUGCUAUUUUUCUUCUCAUCUCCUCUUUAUGUCCCUUUGGAUUUGAGAGUGCUCUUAAGAUCAUUGUCCCUUUAGGUAAAAAGUUCCUUCAGUUCAAGGCAAGAGUCAAGCAUCAGAGUUCCAAGGCAGAGGAUCUUCAUCCUCCUCUUGUUCUCUAUAGGGUAUGUUUUCUAUUGUUUUGUUACGAUGUAUGUUGUCAUGUACAACUAAACCUCUUUGAUUAGGGUUCUAAGAUGAACUCCUUCUUAUUUGUUGGAUACCAUUAAUAAAGUUUUUAUUUAGUUAUAUUUCUUGUGUCCAAUUUAAUUUUUUUCUUGUUUGUGCUUAAUGCUUUUUCAAUUGAGAAUCCGCAUCGAUAAUCUUAAAAAUUUAUCUUUAUAGAUUAGUAGCAUUAACGAUCCAAAAUUCUUCUUCUGUUCAUGGCAGUUCUAAUUGGUUAUUACUUAAUUCUAGUUAAUGAAAUUAAGUAAUGAAACCUCAUGUUUCCUAAUUCUUCAUUCCGGGAAUGCUGUAACUUUAACCUCAUGUUUCUUAAAUCAUAAGUAGACACCACAUAAUUGAUGUCCUACUAAGGGUGUGUUUGGUAAAAAUAAGCUAUAAGUUAGCCGAUAGCUGAAAAGUUAGCUUAUAGCUGAUAUCUUAUAACUGAUAGCUUAUAGCUGAAAAGCUGAUUUAUUAUAAUUGAAGUGUUUGGUAAAAUUAGCUGUGUUGAAGUGACUGAUAAGUAUAAAAUGACAUAAAAGAACAUGUUUUUUUUUUAAGUUAUAUAUAUAGUGUAUACACACACAUUUUUUCUAAUGUAUUCAUUUUUUAAUAUUUUAAUUUAUGGUUAAAUAUAUUUUUGGUCCCUAUAAAUAUUUAAACUUUUGGUUUUAGUCUCCAUAAAAAAAAAAAAAAAAAAUUCGACUUUUAACCCUCCAAAAAAAAAUUCAUUGACAAUUUAGACCGAUGCUUUUAUGAAUCCCAAAAAUAAUAAGAAGCUGGAAAAAAUGUGAGCAAAAAUAUAUAAAAUAAAAUUUUACAACAUACAGUGGGCUUUUCUUUCAAAAAAAAAAAUACAGUAGGCUAAUUAUAACAAAAUAUAAAGCAUUUCUUUAAAAAUAAAAUAUCUAUAUUAUAUAUAAAGAAAAAAAUCCAUCAAUUUUAGAUGAGUGUGAGAAUAGUUUUUUAUUUGAGGCAAGCAAAAUUAUAACAUUUUGUUAUCAAAAUUGUUGGACAGAUGUACACUAUUAAAAAUUAUUUUCUGCGGAUUUUGCCAAGGAUUAGAGUCCCCAAGGUAAUACCUUCAUGGGUAAUUGUUUUCUGAGAAUUUUAGAAACCGCAGGAAAAUCACCUGGGGAAAUUUCCUAAGAAAAUUGGACAUAAAUCCGAAGGAAAGUUUUGGUCAGAAAAGAAUGAGUUUUGUUGCCCGUGAAACGUUUUCUGCAAAAACAAAAACGGUAGGUACUUCCGCAGCAAAUGCAGCAAGAAAAUCAGCAACGUAUUUAAUUUUCGCAGGAAAAUCCGUUGGAAAUGAGAUAUAAAUUUAGGCAGAAUAAAGGCACAAUAAAAAUCAUUUUCUUUUUAUUUUCAAGGGAAAAUCACUUUUACUUAUUUGUUUGAUCAAAAAAUUUCAUUGAAGAAAAUGUUAAAUUAGUGAACUCGUUUGAUUCUUGUUGGGGUGUGGUGGAUGGGAAGAAGAUCCAGCAAAUUCAUUCAUACAACAUAACACUUGCUCUGGCAGCUCCUCAACUUUGUUCCCCUGAACCAAAUAUUAUAUGAUAAUAAUUAGUAUGAGCAUAAAAUAAAAUGCAUUAGAUUUUUUUCAUAAGAUAAACACUGCCUUGCCUGGAUUGUAAGGCCAAUAUCUAGAGUGCAGAUCUUUAAUCUGUCCAUGAAUGCUUCAUACCUUUUUCUUGAGAUAUAACCAAAUCUAUGCAUGAUCUAUAUCAAUCUCAAAGUAAUUUUCUCCCUGAAAUUAAGAAUAAAUAAACAUAUUGGUUAUAUGAAAAGAGUUUGACUUUUUUAUUGUUGUUAUAAAAAUAGCAUAUACAUAAGCACUUAAUUAAGCAGCUAUUAUUCUAGACAGGGCUAGUGAUAUAAAUUUUCUUUUGUCUUUCUCAGUUUGACAUCCACUUGAGAAUUAAGUCUACAUUAACUCUAAACAUCAAAGAAAUAUCAUGACAGCAUUAAACUAGCCAGAUAAUUACAUGAAUAUGGCUAGGAUCAUUAAUGUAAAAUGCAUAUGCAUGUGUUGAACUUCACAUUCAUAUUUCACUAAGGGAAAAAACAAACUUUCAAAAAGAAUCAAGGAAGUAGCAAACAUUGACUGCAGUUAUUGUCAUAUUCAGCUCCAAGGUGGUGUCAAAAUAGAUUAUUGAAAGAAAACAUUAAAAAUUUAAGAUUAGUGAAUGAGACAUACCGAAUAAAACUCGUGUCAGGAACGCGAAAGAACAGGUUUCUCAUUGUAAACCUGCAUAAGCUACCUUUCAGCCGCACUCAAAUGAAGGUCUUCUAUAUUGCCAACGCGGACUAGUAUUUUCAACCGUUCUCGUAACGGUGCAAUUGUAUCGACCAGAAAGCCUUUUACCUUUUCAACUUCAUCAUCCAUCAACUUUUCUGUCAAAUGAUAUGGACAGAUUUUAUUUCACUAGCAACGCAUAGGUCAGUGACAUAUAUCUAUUAAUUUCACAAAUUUUUGUUUUACGACAACAUUGUAAGAAAUAAUCUUAAAGAACUGAUCGACUGAAAGAAACAGAACAAUAGCAUUUUCAUUAAUGUCUUCACCAAAAAUCAAUGGUUAAUAUUUUUAAUCUUACAAGUACCUAUAUAGUUAAUUGAUAUAAGAAACCACUCCGCCGAUCUUACAACUCGAGACUGAUAUAAAGUGCACCCACACUUCACAUUUGGAAGAUCUAAAUCCCUAAUGAUUGCAUUAAAAGCUUUCUAGUUUCUACAACAUGUAUUCCAUUAUCCUGGUCAAUUCAUUUUCACUUGAAAAUACACAUGAAUCCCCCAGUCCCAUGAAUGCAUCCAUAAUCUGCUACUAUUUUUGUGUUUGCAAGUGUACAUUUUGUUUCACUUCAAUAGAAACAACAACCAUAAAGUUGGAAAUUGAGAACAAAGCUAACAGUAGUGUCAUUCUAAAAACACAACAAUCAAUCAUAUAGAAAGAAGAACAACUUAUGUGGUUGGUAAUCUUCAAUUUGAUUGUGUUAGAUAAUAUAUUAUAUCGAAGAUAGUUAGUCUUUUGUGUGAUUUUGAUUACUCAGGUAUGUUUUCUUUGCUGAGACUAUGUUACUAGAUUAUUGUUUUUCCUUCUCACCUCAAAACAUGAGAGGUACUCUUUGAUCAGUGAACCAAGUAGCAAAAUUUGAACCUGCCGUCGAUGUGAUGGUUAAACUUCACCAUUUUUUGUUACCACUGCCACUGUCGUUUGUGAAAUUAGUUUAUCAGAUUUCAUUCAAUUAGUUUAUUUAAAUAAGUUCUAGCCCAGGGAGUACAAUAUCUUCAGAGUGGUGCGUUACUCAAAUAAUGACACAAAAUAAGUUAAACAGUAAAUAUUUUUGAGUAAUUAAUAUUACUAAUUAAAGGUUGCAACAAGCAGUCCCCGUGAGCUUAAUAUUUACAUAAAACAAGUAACAAUAACAAGACAUACAAAUAGGAAAUUGGUCAUCACUCAACACUCACCAGCAUCAUUGGUAAGAUUGAUAAAACCUUUAUUAUACAAAUCUAGAUAGACAAACUCAUUUCACAUAGUGGCUUUGGGAUGGCUAGAUUGGAAUCCACAUAAGAUGGUUCACAGGGAAAAAGUGACACACUGGAGAAUUCUUCCCAGCCUUAAUCCCAAGUUGUUUGAAUAUAAUAUGAUUAGGGUUCCAUUCAGAUGUAUCAAAAUGGCAAACUCCAAGAGCUUCCAUUUUAUCUCCAUUCUCAUCACUAACAAGUGAGACCUUGAACACUUUAGUCUUUGUGGCAAUGUAAUGGCAAUAGUAAAUGGCAUAUGGAUAUGGAAGGGGAUGACAAGCUACCCAUUUGGGAACAUCAAUAUCAUGUGAUACUUCUAAAACAGUGUACUUUUGUAGAGGGGUAGUUCUGGGUGAGGGGUUGCUCGUGGUUAGAAUACUAUAUUUGACGUUUGAACCAAUAAUUGUGUCAACAAAUUCGAGCAUGGACUCUAGAGAAUUGGCACAGAUUUUUGUCUCCCCUGUAACGGUUUCCCCUUCGCACUCUUCAAGUGCUCCUCUCAUGGAUUUGGCUUGAGGAGAUUCUUCAGGGAUUGAAAAGAGUUGAAGAAUACUUGGGAGUUGUGACAUCGAGAAAGGAAUGGAGUCGGCCUCUUUUUUUGAGAGGUAUGGAGAAACUUCUUGGACCGGAAAUUGGAGGGUCAUUACAUUUCCAACGUGAAGAUCAUCAAAACUGAAAUAUCCUGUCUUGAAAGCUUCUGUAUGAUCCAAGUUAGGAAUUGGGAGAUCUUCUACGGAGUUGGUAGAUGGGAGGCCUUUUGGAUCAAUGACAUAUUUGUACCCAGAAAUGUAAUUUGGUUGCUUGGUUU
rnacentral:lncRNA from 1 species